AACGAACGCUGGCGGCAUGCCUAACACAUGCAAGUCGAACGAGACCUUCGGGUCUAGUGGCGCACGGGUGCGUAACGCGUGGGAACCUGCCCUUAGGUUCGGAAUAACUCCCCGAAAGGGGUGCUAAUACCGGAUAAUGUCUUCGGACCAAAGAUUUAUCGCCUUUGGAUGGGCCCGCGUUGGAUUAGCUAGUUGGUAGGGUAAAUGCCUACCAAGGCGACGAUCCAUAGCUGGUCUGAGAGGAUGAUCAGCCACACUGGGACUGAGACACGGCCCAGACUCCUACGGGAGGGAGCAGUGGGGAAUAUUGGACAAUGGGCGAAAGCCUGAUCCAGCAAUGCCGCGUGAGUGAUGAAGGCCUUAGGGUUGUAAAGCUCUUUUACCCGGGAUGAUAAUGACAGUACCGGGAGAAUAAGCACCGGCUAACUCCGUG
rnacentral:rRNA from 1 species